UGCUGCUGCUUCUUUGUUGCUGCAGAAAAAUAAAGGAUGCAUGCAGUAACAGGUUGGUCCAACACUCUUGUCUCAUCUUGAUCAUCAUAACAAUACUUUCCAUGUUCCUUAUUAAACUCCUUCAUGCUUUAGUCUCUCUCAGUCUCUGAACAUCAACCAAGGCUCUGCUACACAGCAAACAGUGAACCAGGAUGAAACUCAAGUUUACUCCUCUCUUCUCCAUGCUGAUGUUUGUGUCUAUGAAUCAAUCAGAGGCUCUGGAAACACAGGAAGUGGUACAGUAGAAACUUUGAUUCAUGUGGAGCUGUCAGACAUUAGAUUAUUAUCAGUGACUCAUCUAAACUCAUGGAACAU